CGCGUAACCAUUCCUCCCCCCUCCCCCAACCCGCGCCCUACCGGUGACCGAAACAUCUUUGAGGGCGAUGGGAACAACGGUUACUUCGGCGGCCACGACCAGUAUUCGGACCCUUUACUCGCUUGGCAUGAUACCGACCUGCGGGCUGUGCCCACCACUAGCCGUGGCGUAGCUUCUGCCAGUACAUACAGACAAGUGGAAACACGUUACGACGUUAGGACGAAUAGCACUUCGUCGCACACCGCGCCCCUUGCUGCGGCCCACAUUGCGCCCCAUGUGGCGCCCCCUCGCCCGGCGCAUCGCCCGAGUUGGGCAUUCCCGGAAAACCCAUGGGACGACUAAAUAUUUAUCAACUGUAUCUCACUUUCAACGCCUCGGUACCUUUUUUAAAUUUAAAUUAUUUGUGUUACAUUGAUUGAUUGUGUUGGUUGAACUGUUUUUUGUUUUUAAAUAUUUAUCGACACACAGAUAAGUGUCGCUUAGGUGCUUGUCCAUGAAUUCGCGCAUUAAUUUUAUGUGACCUAUAUGUUUUAUUCUAAUAUAGUAGAAUUUAUUUUAAGUUCGUGCUGAAUGUUAGCGCUCUAUGUUGUUUUAUUGUGCAACAGGUUUUGAAAGACAAACGACAGGCUAUCGACCCGGCUGCUCUGGCGAUCGGUUUUGUGUUCAGUGUUAAGAGUAUACCUACUUGAGUUGAUUCAGUUUUUCCUUUUUAUACAUUUGGCCUUGAUUCGAUGUUAGGAAAACCACAAAACCAGGAUUUUCUUUUGAAUUAAGUAAAUUAUUUUGCUUUAAAUUUGACAGAAGACUUGCUAUGUGAUAUGUUUUUGAAACAAGCCCACCCCUACCUAAACUUACCAAACCCAAUCACUUAUUCUUACCUUCCCAGCUACAUAUCCUAAACCCCAAGUAAGCAUUUGUAAAUAUGCCAUAUUCAUAGUGUAGGUUCCCUGGCACAUCAAUUUCAUCUCACGUAUGUGUUACCCCAUUCCCCUCCCCAAAAACAGAAUAUGCUUAAUAAAUUGUUUGUAAAUAACGAUCAAUAUAAUAAGUAGUUCCCUUCAACUACACUAUUUAAUCUCACCUAUUGCACGCACUUCUCCCCAAACCCCAGAAACAAAAUAGGUUAAAUAAGUUGUUUAAAAUUGUAAAUAGUUAUUUUUAAAUAAAAUGUGGCUGCCCUGGCACAUCGAUAUGAUAUCCCACCACACCUCUAUCCCCAAAAAUAAAAUAUCAUGUUUUCUUAGUUACUUAAAAUUGUAAAUGAUUGUUAUUCACUUAUGUAGCUCCCUUGGCACGGUCCUUUGAAUGUCACCUACUCCUCUCAAACCCAAAUCCCUAAAACAUAAAACUAAAUUAUUUUAAGCCCCAAAAGAACCCAAUCCAAAUUACACAUCCACCCGCUAAAUAAGUUUAAUAAGUUGAUAACCCAAUUUAUUUAAUAUCACAUACAAUCUUCAUCCCCAAAAUAAAACACCAAACAGUAGUUAUACAUAAUAAUUUGUAUAGGUAAAGUAUUUAUAUUAAGCACAUUACGACUGAUGA